rnacentral:rRNA from 1 species
UAUGUCCUACGGGGGGCAGCAGUGGGGGAUAUUGGACAAUGGGGGAAACCCUGAUCCAGCGACGCCGCGUGAGUGAAGAAGUAUUUCGGUAUGUAAAGCUCUGUCAGCAGGGAAGAAAGAAAUGACGGUACCUGACCAAGAAGCCCCGGCUAACUACGUGCCGGCAGCCGCGGUAAUACGUAGGGGGCAAGCGUUAUCCGGGAUUACUGGGUGUAAAGGGAGCGUAGACGGUAAUGUAAGUCUGGAGUGAAAGGCGGGGGCCCAACCCCCGACCG